rnacentral:rRNA from 1 species
GUGCCAGCAGCCGCGGUAAUACGUAGGUCCCGAGCGUUGUCCGGAUUUAUUGGGCGUAAAGGGAGCGCAGGCGGUCAGGAAAGUCUGGAGUAAAAGGCUAUGGCUCAACCAUAGUGUGCUCUGGAAACUGUCUGACUUGAGUGCAGAAGGGGAGAGUGGAAUUCCAUGUGUAGCGGUGAAAUGCGUAGAUAUAUGGAGGAACACCAGUGGCGAAAGCGGCUCUCUGGUCUGUCACUGACGCUGAGGCUCGAAAGCGUGGGUAG